CUGUACUCACCAUUGUACUAUGUUUCUAUGAUUAGGCUUGCUGAGUGUGCUGUCAUCCAUCCAUAUUGAGGAGCAGGAGCUGUAGUUCCUCGUCAGCUGACAGUAGAAGAAAAUGUCACAAUUUGAUCCCACCUACAUUCUGGAAUACAUCUGCCAACAGCUGCAUCAUAAAACAUUUCUCUGAAAGUGUUCCAGUGACAGUGUAAGAGAUUGAGCAUAUUUAAUAUUUU
rnacentral:lncRNA from 1 species